CCGGCGUCACUGGGAGGAGGACAGUGAUGACAGCCCUUAUCUGGUUUGGUCUGUUUUGUGAAACCGUUCUUUAGAGUGGCAAAAAGGUGACAGUAGUGACUAAGUCUAUAACAUAUAUUAAUAUGAUUGCUUAAUGAGAUAAGUGCAGACAAAUCAAUAAUCAGUUAAAAUGUUUUUUUACUUGGGCAUUUUCUUUUGUAACUGCCAGGAUUCUGUGCACUUUGCUCCGCUGAUUCUCUUCCACAGGUGGCUGUUGUUGACAGGUGGGCGUGGCCCACACCUGCGGCUCGUUGGGGCUGCUCUGGCUGGAGCUUAAAAGGAGCUUUCAAUCAGCUGAAGGGCUCCAGAGUGUUAGACUGUUGUGUUCGUCAUGCUCUGGAGUACUCGACUGUCGUGUCCCCGUGCGCUGAAGACUGGUUCCUGAAUCCCUGCUGCUCAGAUUCUGUUCUGGCGUUCCCCUCAAGCUCCCUUGUUGGUACCAAGCAGGACAGGAAACCCCCUUUCCUGGAUUCACUCUGGUUCCUUGAGCUGCUACUUGUGCCUGUCUCAGCUGUGGUGCUGCUCUGGCUCCCGUCUAUGUCCCAUCCGCUAGCACACCUGUCGCUCAACCUUUUCCUCCCAUCGGAAAGCAGAGAGUCGCAGAACCCCUUCUUCCAGUCACCCUUCCCGGAUAGGCUAUCUGUACGUAGCGUGCUCCUAACUCUGACGUUCCGAACCUUGCCUGCAGCUCGCAUAGUGAGCAAUCAGAUCUCUAUGGUGCCCUGUUCUCGUUGAGCCUCCUUGCACACCUGCGGCUCGUUGGGUCUUUACCAGAGGAGUAUUUGAGCAGCGGGCCGUCACUACCUCGACGCCAGAGUCUUUGCUAGUAUUGGG